rnacentral:misc_RNA from 1 species
AAUUCUCAACUGCUCCGAGCUUUGUUGUUCGGGGUGAAGUUGGACUUGGAGGUCUUUGCUGGCGUGGGCUUCGGCUCACUUGUCGGCUCCUCUUGAAUGCAUGAGCUUUCCAGUGGAUCUUGGCAAAGUAUCGUCGAUGUGAUAAUUAUCUACGUCGGUCGAGAAAGCCUCGAGCAGGGCUCUUAGGAGCUCCUACGGGAAAUCUUUCAUAUACAUCGGGCUUCAAACACCCGUGUCUGACAA